UACGUAGGUCCCGAGCGUUGUCCGGAUUUAUUGGGCGUAAAGCGAGCGCAGGCGGUUAGAUAAGUCUGAAGUUAAAAGGCCUGUGGCUUAAACCAUAGUACGCUUUGGAAACUGUUUAACUUGAGUGCAAGAGGGGAGAGUGGGAAUUCCAUGUGUAGCGGUGAAAUGCGUAGAUAUAUGGAGGAACACCGGUGGCCGAAAGCGGCUCUCUGGCUUGUAACUGACGCUGAGGCUGCGAAAAGCGUGGGGAGCAAACAGGAUUAGAUACCCCCGGUAGUCC
rnacentral:rRNA from 1 species